UCGUGACCCACAGGUUGAGAACCGCUGUCAGAAUAUUGUCUUCAUUGCAUGUGUAGUUUGGGUACAGAUUCCAAACCUAUGGCUGAGUUUCUUCCAGUAUGAUCAAAAGUAUCUUUUUUCUUUGCUCUGAAUAAAACUGAAUUGUGGGUUCUCUAUAGAAAGUGGCAUUUUGGGCUUUCCCCCUUUUUGCAAAGCGAUUUCUGCCUAGUUUAUUGUCCAGUUAACUUUAGUUUAGUGUCUUUUCAA